GACCACUUGCAAAACAAACAUGGACCCGACCUGAAGAUUCAGGUGUUGUACGAAGAUCACGCAUCCAACGACUACAACAGCCUCUUCAAAACUAUUUACGGUCAAACCUCGUACAUGACCAAGUUCACCAACGUGUUCCCUCUGGUUUGUGGCACUAAUUUCUACAAGCAGUGUGUACCUGACAACACCUGUGACAUCAUCAUGUCCUCAUUCGCCACGAUGUAUUUGAGUAACGAGAGUUACGUGAGAUGCUCCAAUACAAUGUUCCCCUGGCGGUCGACA